ensembl:processed_transcript Gm11714 predicted gene 11714
GGUCAUUUCCUGUUGGCCUUGUGUAUCGCCUACUUGUACAAUUGGACUCUAGCUAUUAUUUCUGGAAGACUUCUAAUUUGUCUUGGCCCGAUCAGACUCUACACCCAUUAAGGAAUGAUCUGCUGGCUCACUCACCGCUGUAUUCCCAGAACCUGAUCAAUAUUCAUGAGGGGGAUGGAUAUUCCAUUUCAAGGCACAGCAAAAUUAAGGUAAAUCAGGUGUGAUGGUUUGUAUAUGCUUGGCCCAGGGACUGGCACUAUUAGAGGGUAUGGCCCUGCUGGAAUAGGUGUGUCACUGUGGUUGUGGGCUUUAAGACCCUCAUCCUAACUGCUUGGAAGUCAGUAUUCUGCUAGCAGCUUUCAGAUGAAGAUGUAGAACUCUCAGCUCCUCUUCUACCAUGCCUGCCUGGAUGCUGCCAUGCUCCUGCUUCGAUGAUAAUGGACUGAACCUCUGAACCUGUAAGCCAGCCCCAAUUACUCAUUGUCCUUAUAAGACUUGCCUUGGUCACGGUGUCUGUUCACAGCAGUAAACCCUAACUAAGACAUAGGGUUUGUGUGUUCGUUUAAAUCAAUACUUUCGUUCUGAAAGACGUGCCUAUUGCUGCAUACUUAUUGUGUCUAGCUUUAUCACUCUUGACCAAAUCCUUCCAGAAGAGAGUACAGCAUGAUCCUCAGAAAAUACACUGGAGCUUCAGACACCCUGAGUCAGAAGGAGUUUCUGGGUUCAAGAAGACAGAACAAUUUAGAUCUCAUUUAUUAAGGACGCUGUGGAACCAUUACAUAAGCAGCCGUGUGAUUGUAAUAGCCGACGUUUCAUUAGCUCUGAUUGUCUUUUGAGAGAAGCAAACAAUAAAAUACAGAGAUAUUAAAAGU